GAUGAACGCUAGCGGCAGGCCUAACACAUGCAAGUCGAGGGAGAGGUUACCUUCGGGUAACCAAAACCGGCGCACGGGUGCGUAACGCGUAUACAAUCUGCCUUUCACAUAGGGAUAGCCCGAAGAAAUUUGGAUUAAUACCUAAUGGUAUAUAAGAGCGGCAUCGUUUUUAUAUUAAAGCUACGGUGGUGAAAGAUGAGUAUGCGUUCUAUUAGCUAGUUGGAGAGGUAACGGCUCCCCAAGGCGACGAUAGAUAGGGGUUCUGAGAGGGAUGUCCCCCACACUGGUACUGAGAUACGGACCAGACUCCUACGGGAGGCAGCAGUGAGGAAUAUUGGACAAUGGUCGGAAGACUGAUCCAGCCAUGCCGCGUGCAGGAUGAAGGUCCUAUGGAUUGUAAACUGCUUUUGUAAGGGAAGAAUAAGGAGUACGUGUACUUUGAUGACAGUACCUUACGAAUAAGCAUCGGCUAACUCCGUGCCAGCAGCCGCGGUAAUACGGAGGAUGCGAGCGUUAUCCGGAUUUAUUGGGUUUAAAGGGUGCGUAGGUUGUUCGGUAAGUCAGCGGUGAAACCUGAGCGCUCAACGUUCAGCCUGCCGUUGAAACUGCCGGGCUUGAGUUCAGUGGCGGCAGGCGGAAUUCGUGGUGUAGCGGUGAAAUGCAUAGAUAUCACGAGGAACUCCGAUUGCGAAGGCAGCUUGCCAUACUGCGACUGACACUGAAGCACGAAGGCGUGGGUAUCAAACAGG
rnacentral:rRNA from 1 species